rnacentral:rRNA from 1 species
CGAAGCGGAUCUCUUAAAGCUGUUCUCAGUUCGGACUGCAGUCUGCAACUCGACUGCACGAAGCUGGAAUCGCUAGUAAUCGCGGAUCAGCACGCCGCGGUGAAUACGUUCCCGGGCCUUGUACACACCGCCCGUCACACCAUGGAAGUCUGCAAUGCCCGAAGCCGGUGGCCUAACCACUUAUGUGGAAGGAGCCGUCUAAGGCAGGGCAGAUGACUGGGGUGAAGUCGUAACAAGGUAUC